UCCCGUCCACAGAACAGCUGUGAGAGUUCAAUGGUCUGUGAGAUGAAGUCCAUCAUCGUGUUGACUCGCACCUUCGCGUUGAGGAACAGAAGCUCACAUAAUGCAAAAACAUGAUGAGAUGAUGGAAAAGGUGCUGGAGUCUUAACGUGCAGGAAUACAAGACGUGGGUUAUUGUAGCCUGAAGACUGUUGGCCUACGCUUCCACUUUUCCAGAAUUAUUAUUAUGAAGUUUGCGUUGCCAUGGCAGCAGAACUACUGCAGCUGUGAUGGUCAGCACAGACUUCUUCCACCUCUUCAAUCAAAACCCCGCCCUCCAGUGAGUUCCCAGUGUUCUGAUUGGCUAACACGCGCGAGCCGUUGUUUCAGUGCUUUCUGUCAGGU